AUUGAACGCUGGCGGCAGGCUUAACACAUGCAAGUCGAGCGGGGGAAGGUAGCUUGCUACCGGACCUAGCGGCGGACGGGUGAGUAAUGCUUAGGAAUCUGCCUAUUAGUGGGGGACAACAUCUCGAAAGGGAUGCUAAUACCGCCUACGUCCUACGGGAGAAAGCAGGGGAUCUUCGGAACUGGCGCUAAUAGAUGAGCCUGAGUCAGAUUAGCUAGUUGGUGGGGUAAAGGCCUACCAAGGCGACGAUCUGUAGCGGGCCUGAGAGGAUGAUCCGCCACACUGGGACUGAGACACGGCCCAGACUCCUACGGGAGGCAGCAGUGGGGAAUAUUGGACAAUGGGGGGAACCCUGAUCCAGCCAUGCCGCGUGUGUGAAGAAGGCCUUAUGGUUGUAAAGCACUUUAAGCGAGGAGGAGGCUACUUUAGUUAAUACCUAGAGAUAGUGGACGUUACUCGCAGAAUAAGCACCGGCUAACUCUGUGCCAGCCGCCGCUGUAA
rnacentral:rRNA from 1 species